GGGGCGGUAGCUUAAUUAGUAAAGCAAUUGCCUGCCACGCAAUAAGUUAUCGGUGCAAUUCCGAUUCGCUCCA
rnacentral:tRNA from 1 species